rnacentral:lncRNA from 1 species
CUUACCAUUUGGCUAGCAUUUAAAACACUUUGUAGUAGACACUUGAUUCUAAUGACUCCUAUAUGCUAAUACUACCAUCUCUAUUUUCUAUGUGGGGAAACUUAAUCCCAAACAGGUUUCCUACUUUCCAUAGUCACAUUACUAGCAAGAGGUAGAGGUCAGGAUGAAGUACAGUCUCACCUAUAUUUAUUGAAAUGCCGGCUGUGUCCUUAUCUAUGCCCCAUCAUGAGUGUUUGGGGGAGCAGGCACAGGGUCUCACUAUGUUACACAAGCUGGUCUUGAGCUCAUAAUCCUCCUGCCUCAGCCCAUGGAUUGCAUCCAUGAACAACCCCAUCUGGCUUAAAAUGCCUAGUAGGGCAUGAUGUGCUGCAUCUCAAAAGGAGUAAGACUGCCUAAUAUUCACUGUUGUAUUUCUACGUAUCAGAAAGGUACUGGACCAUCGAGACAAGGUAUAUGAGCAGCUGUCUGUAUACCUUCAACUAAGAAAUGUCAUUGAGCGACUCCAGGUAAAGGCUUUUAAAUUGGGUGCCACUUUGUGUAUAUGUACAAAGAAGGGAGGCGGGAAGAGAACCCCCAGAACAAAACCUUUAUCUGCCUUAAAAGUUGGCCACUGACACCUACCUCUUUUCUCCUGGCCCUAUAGGAAACUAAUCACUCGGAGUUAUAUAUGCAGGUGGAUUUGGGCUGUAACUUCUUCGUUGACACAAUGGUCCCAGAUACUUCACGCAUCUAUGUGGCCCUGGGAUACGGUUUUUUCCUGGAACUGACACUGGCCGAAGCUCUCAAGUUCAUUGACCGAAAGAGUUCCCUCCUCACAGAGGUCUCCACCAAACCUAAAGUUUGCCAUUUUUUGACUUCAACCCCAAACCUAGAGUUUACAAUUUUCUGGCUUCAGCAAGCACCAGUGCUGGGGUCAGAGGCUCAGCGACAGCCUCACCAAGGACUCCAUGAAUAUCAAGGCCAAUAUCCACAUGAUGCUAGAGGGACUUAGAGAACUACAAGGCCUGCAGAAUUUCCCAGAGCCAUCUCCCCAUUGACUGCAUCUUCCCAGCCUCCAAUAUUAAACAGCCUGAAUGCCUUGG